rnacentral:rRNA from 1 species
AGUGAACGCUGGCGGUAGGCCUAACACAUGCAAGUCGAACGGCAGCACAGUAAGAGCUUGCUCUUACGGGUGGCGAGUGGCGGACGGGUGAGGAAUACAUCGGAAUCUACUUUUUCGUGGGGGAUAACGUAGGGAAACUUACGCUAAUACCGCAUACGACCUACGGGUGAAAGCAGGGGAUCUUCGGACAUUGCGCGAUUGAAUGAGCCGAUUUCGGGUUAGCUAGUUGGAGGGGUAAAGGCCCACCAAGGCGACGAUUCGUAGCUGGUCUGAGAGGAUGAUCAGCAGCAGUGGAACUGGAACACGCUCCAAACUCCUACGUGAGGCAGCGGUGAAGAAUAUUGGAAAGUGGGCGCGAGCCAGAUCGAACCAUACCGCGUAGGUGGAUAAGGCCUUCGCGUUUUAGAGACCUUUUGUAGGGAAAGAAAAACAGCAGGUUAUUAACCCGCUGUUCUGACGGAACCCAAAAAGUAGGCACCGGCUAACUUCGUG